GGGAAUAUAACUCAAUUGGUAGAGUGUAUGCUUUGCAAGCAUGUGGUUGAGAGUUCAAAUCUCUCUAUUUCC
rnacentral:tRNA from 1 species